GCACGCACGCACGCACGCACGCACACAGCAUUCCCAGAUGGUCCCGUUCAGCGGGAACGCCUGACUUCCUGUUUUCCCGGACUGCCUUACUUCCUCUUCUGUCUUCUGUCAGCAAUUCUACACCAUGGCUUCCUCCCCAUAAACUCAAUGCCUGCGGGUCACUGAACGCGAGGCGUCCGGAGCACUUCUGAGUUGGAUCAGAGUCCAGUCAGGGGCUGGGCCCAAGGUUUGGGCUCCAGUUUUGGGGACACCACUCAGGCACAGCACUGCUGGAGUGGGGAGUGAACGCUAAUGACAUCCCCAAGAUCAUCUCUAAACAUCCUCCUCUGGCUUCUGCGAAUUGUUCCAGCUUGAUUAUAACACCGUCUCAGAAGGAGAAAUGAAAGACAGUCUGCGUUUCUCAGGAAAACGAUCAAUGAAGGAAAACGAUCAAUGAAUCAAAUUUUGUGGUUUCAUUACUGGAAACCCCGUAGUAUAGAAAAUGUAAAAAAAAAAAAAAAAAAAAAAAAAUCCCGUCCUUGAUCAAGUUGACCGGCUAAUUAACAAGACUUCCAAAUACCAUGCGGGCGGCGACAGCAACCCAAACAUUCAACCGUCCUUGGUCCCGCUAGCGGGCGGGGGUUUUCUUCUCUUCCAGGCCCGGCCUAGAAACUCAUAUUUUAUUCAUGAAAAUCUAGGCCCUGGGAGGCCUCGGCAUAAACAGGAUGUCCCUUCGUUCCCAUCUCCCCAGAUUCAAACCUGGGACUGGUUUUCUGAGAGGCUGAGGCAGGAGGGUCUCGAGUUUGAAGCAAGCAUGGACAACUUGGUGAGACCCUGCCUUGAAAUAAAAUAUGAAAAGGGU